rnacentral:lncRNA from 1 species
CUGGGGGUUCCUUUCCUAUACCCCCACCCCCAGGAGGAAGCCACUGGCCUCACUUCUGGGAUAAGCUGUCUAGUACUUCUGUUGUGAGAAUUCCUGAAGAGUGAAGCCUGUUUCUCAGGGCGCAUCCAGAUGCCCAGCGCCAGAGGGUCUCCUUGCCCACCUUCAGAGUGGACACGGCCGAGCCGGACGUCUGCAGAGGCAGGGCGACAGGGAGGGCCGUGUGGAUGUGUGCGGCCUUCAAAGUGUCCACUUUGAAGAAGUGGGUAUUUACUCAACUUUCUCUGAUGGUUUAUCUUUCUCUUGUUCACUAUUUUGAAUAGAAGAAUAUAUUCCGCAAUUCCUUUGGGGCAUCUUUUUAUAAUUCUUCCAUGAGUUUACUUAGUUUUCCUCUAAUCUCCACCCUGACUGCUACACACUAUUGCUCCACAAAAGGAAAGAGCAGUGCAAAGUGCGUCUAGUCCGUGGAUGCUCCUCGCUUGUCCGAACGUGAACCUGGGAAGAUGUGUCUUUCAUUCUCUGCUCCUUUUAUCGACAGCUGGUAUUAUUACUAUUAUUGGCUUUCAAUGUCUUUGAAUUUCAACUUUCAAUUUCAAUGAAUUACUGUCUCCUGUGUCCCUUGCUUUACAGAAAAAAAUGCCGACGUCGUUUUUGACACCAACUUUAUUUGAAAGAGCGGGCAGUGCGUCCAGUGUCGCAUCUAGCAGGCACCACACACACCCAGGAAAAUCCCUAAAAUGAUGGGACUGUUUCAUCUCCCACCAAGAGACAGACCCCUUUACUGUCAACCAAAGCAACCUUUUAUUUUUUUUCCAUUGUGAGCAUUUUCAC